AUUGUUCGCAAUGGGCGCAAGCCUGACGACGCAACGCCGCGUGGAGGAUGAAGAUCUUCGGGUCGUAAACUCCUGUCGAGCGGGAAGAACACCUUUCGGGUGAACAAUCCGGGAGGCUGACGGUACCGCUAAAGGAAGCCCCGGCUAACUCCGUGCCAGCAGCCGCGGUAAUACGGGGGGGGCAAGCGUUGUUCGGAAUUACUGGGCGUAAAGGGCGCGUAGGCGGCCUUCUAAGUCGGACGUGAAAGCCCCAGGCUUAACCUGGGAACUGCGUCCGAUACUGGGAGGCUUGGAUUCGGGAGAGGGAUGUGGAAUUCCAGGUGUAGCGGUGAAAUGCGUAGAUAUCUGGAGGAACACCGGUGGCGAAGGCGGCAUCCUGGACCGAGAUCGACGCUGAGGCGCGAAAGCUAGGGGAGCAAAC
rnacentral:rRNA from 1 species